rnacentral:rRNA from 1 species
UACGCAGGGAGCAAGCGUUGUCCGGAAUCAUUGGGCGUAAAGCGCGCGUAGGCGGCCCUGUAAGUCCGUUGUGAAAGUCAAAGGCUCAACCUUUGAAAGCCGAUGGAUACUGCAGGGCUAGAGUCCGGAAGAGGCGAGUGGAAUUCCUGGUGUAGCGGUGAAAUGCGUAGAUAUGUGGAGGAACACCGAUGGCGAAGGCAGCCCCCUGGGUUAACACUGACGCUCAUGCACGAAAGCGUGGGGAGCAAACAGG